GGGCUCCUUGGUGAUUCAUAAUAACUAAACGAAUCGCAUGGCCUUGCGCCGGCGAUGGUUCAUUCAAAUUUCUGCCCUAUCAACUUUCGAUGGCAAGAUAGAGGCUUACCAUGGUCUUAACGGGUAACGGGGAAUUAGGGUUCUAUUCCGGAGAGGGAGCCUGAGAAACGGCUACCACAUCCAAGGAAGGCAGCAGGCGCGCAAAUUACCCAAUGCUAAUUCAGCGAGGUAGUGACAAUAAAUACUGAUACGGGGCUCUUUCGGGUCUCGUAAUUGGAAUGAGUACAAUCUAAAUCCCUUAACGAGGAACAAUUGGAGGGCAAGUCUGGUGCCAGCAGCCGCGGUAAUUCCAGCUCCAAUAGCGUAUAUUAAAGUUGUUGCCGUUAAAAAGCUCGUAGUUGAACCUUGGACCUGGCUGAUCUGUCCUCCUAAUCGAGCGCACGGAUUCGGUCGGGUCUUUCCUUCUGGGGAGCCCUAUGCCCUUCACUGGGUGUAGUGGGGAACCAGGACUUUUACCUUGAAAAAAUUAGAGUGUUCAAAGCAGGCCUUUGCUCGAAUACAUUAGCAUGGAAUAAUAGAAUAGGACAUCGGUUCUAUUUUGUUGGUUUCUAGGACCGCUGUAAUGAUUAAUAGGGAUAGUCGGGGCGUCAGUAUUCAAUUGUCAGAGGUGAAAUUCUUGGAUUUAUUGAAGACUAACUACUGCGAAAGCAUUCGCCAAGGAUGUUUUCAUUAAUCGGUGAACGAAAGUUAGGGGAUCGAAGACGAUCAGAUACCGUCGUAGUCUUAACCAUAAACUAUGCCGACUAGGGAUCGGACGGUGGUUUUUUUAUGCCCCGUUCGGCACCUUACGAGAAAUCAAAGUUUUUGGGCUCG
rnacentral:rRNA from 1 species